GAGUUUGAUCAUGGCUCAGAGCGAACGCUGGCGGCAGGCCUAACACAUGCAAGUCGAACGAACUCUUCGGAGUUAGUGGCGGACGGGUGAGUAACACGUGGGAACGUGCCUUUUGGUUCGGAAUAACUCAGGGAAACUUGUGCUAAUACCGAAUGUGCCCUUCGGGGAAGGAUUAUCGCCAUUAGAGCGGCCCGCGUCUGAUUAGCUAGUUGGUGAGGUAAAGGCUCACCAAGGCGACGAUCAGUAGCUGGUCUGAGAGGAUGAUCAGCCACAUUGGGACUGAGACACGGCCCAAACUCCUACGGGAGGCAGCAGUGGGGAAUCUUGCGCAAUGGGCGAAAGCCUGACGCAGCCAUGCCGCGUGAAUGAUGAAGGUCUUAGGAUUGUAAAAUUCUUUCACCGGGGACGAUAAUGACGGUACCCGGAGAAGAAGCCCCGGCUAACUUCGUGCCAGCCGCCGCCGUAAU
rnacentral:rRNA from 1 species